UAUAUCCUAGAUCUCUUUUGGUUUUUGGAUCAGAGCUGAGGCAAGCUUCUUUUACAAAUUUGUGCUGCAGUCUACUAAAAGAGCUGUUCCCUGCCAGGAGAAUAUUACAUACAGUUCUGAGAAAAAUGAACAGAGUCAGCUUGUUUGAGAGCUAACUGAUGCUUACUCACAACACUGAUAAGCCUGACAUUUACUGAGAAGUGCCACAAUUUUCAGUCCAAUGAAAAAUCCCAAGAGGAUGGUUUGUGGUUUUUUUUUUUUUUUUCAGUGAUGCUUCACAUUCUAUUGACUCAGGAUAAGCUGGAGUUUUCUGAAGUAUUUUAGUCAAAAAAAAUAAUGGAGCCCAACUCCUCCGCUUGAAUUACAUACAGAUGUACUAGUCUUCCUUGGCACAUUUGUUAAUGAUUGUGAUCAGAAGCUCUGGCCUCAAACCGCUCUGGGUAUGUGAUGCGAUAGCCAGGUGUGCAAGGAAGACAGUAGCUGAAGCAAUUGCUGAAGCAUUAGUGACUAUCCUGGAAGUUCUCGGAAGUGCAGCACCCACUACAGAUGACAAGAUGAGAGCAGGGAGAGUACAUGCCUCUUUGAUUUGUCUGAGUAGGACUGAACCAGCGAUGCUGUAGCUGAGGGGAGGCAGAGGUUGGCAGCUGAGGGCUGGAGCUGCAGCCACAUCCUCAAAUUGCAGCAGUGGAGUUUGUUGCUGUGGUUGUGCUGGGGCUGCUGGGGCAAGAGCUGGGUUAGCUGAGUGCUGCAGUGCCUCUCAAGCUGGUGAAAGAGCUACAGGUGAGUGGUUUUUUUUCUUUUUUGGGAAAAAUCCUUCUG
rnacentral:lncRNA from 1 species